UUUUAGUUAACCAUGGAAACCACUUAGCAAUGGCCUGGCAGCUAGAAACCAAACAUAAGCAUCGUGACAGAAAGUUUUGUGCUAACAAGUUUGAGUCAUCAGAAAAUAUGUGUGGGGGUUCAGAAACAGAAAUGGAGAAAGAGACAGUGAGGAGGAGAGAAAAAAAAAGAGAAUUAAGGAAGAUAGAGAUGAUGAUGAUGAUCUCAAAGGAGGACAGGAGCACAGGGAACGUGCCGAUGGACUCCUGGAUGUGCAGUCAGUUUCUACUCACUGUUUGAUGAUGAUUGUUCUGCUUGGCUCGGAUUUGAGAUUGGCA